AAGACAUUAGUAAAAAUAUUACAAAACCUUGUCGUGGUUAAAUUAUAAGUUAAAAUCUUGUACGUCUUU
rnacentral:tRNA from 1 species